AAUCUUGCUCCUCCUACAAUCCAUUUGAUAACGGUUGGACAAUGGAUGUGGGUGUUGUCUUCCUGUUAUUCACAUAACCUGUGAAGCAGAAGAAUAAAAUAGAGUCUGCUUAGACAGAGGAGCAACAGGCAAUGGAUCCCAAAUGUUGGCGUGUGGAACUAAAUGAUGGCUGCUUCAUUCCUGUUCUGGGAUUUGGCACCUAUGCACCUGAAGAGGUUCCUAAGAGCAUGGCUGGAGCGGCCACGAAAGUGGCUAUUGAUGUGGGUUUCCGUCACAUUGACUCAGCGUACCUCUAUCAGAAUGAGGAGGAGGUCGGCGAGGCCCUUCGAGAGAAGAUCAGGGAUGGCACUGUGAAGAGAGAGGACAUAUUCUACACCACCAAGCUUUGGGCUACUUUCCUUCGACCAGAACUGGUUCGACCAGCUCUGGAAAGAUCACUGAAGAAACUUCGACUGGACUACGUAGAUCUCUUCAUCAUUCAUGCGCCUAUUGCUAUGAAGCCUGGGGAGGAGCUUGUGCCAAAGGAUGCUGGUGGGAAAAUUAUUUUAGAUACAGUGGACUUUUGUGACACAUGGGAGGCCCUGGAGAAGUGUAAAGAUGCCGGUUUAACCAAGUCAAUCGGGGUGUCCAAUUUCAAUCACAAACAGCUGGAGAUGAUCCUGAACAAGCCAGGGCUCAAGUACAAGCCUGUUUGCAACCAGGUGGAAUGCCACCCUUACCUCAACCAGAGCAAACUGCUGGAGUUCUGCAAGUCCCAGGACAUUGUUCUAGUUGCCUACAGUGCCCUGGGGUCCCAUAGAGACCCAAACUGGGUGGAAAGAGAUAGUCCAUAUCUCCUGGAGGAUCCAAUCUUGAAUGCUAUUGCCAAGAAACACAAUCGAAGUCCAGGCCAGAUUGCUCUGCGCUACCAGCUACAACGUGGUGUGGUGGUCCUGGCCAAGAGCUUCAAUGAGAAGAGAAUCCAAGAGAACUUCCAGGGGCUUCAGUAUAUCCACCUUCCAACGUGUGGCUGCAUGGUUCUCUCAGAUGUCUUUUGUAUUUGCGGAUGUUCUCUGUUGGAAUAUGAAUGUCCUUGUCACUGUGUCUUAGAGGGGAGAGUUUACAGGGAGAGCUCACUCCUCCAUGAAGAUGAUGUCACCACUAUGCAGAGGAACUUUUAAAAACCUGGUUCCUCUUCUUCACCUUUUCUACCUGAUGAACACCUAUUUGUUUUUGACUUUGAAUUGACUCCAGAAGACAUGAAAGCAAUUGAUGGUCUCAACAGAAAUUUCCGAUAUGAAAAAUUGCUUUUUGCUGUUGAUCACCUUUAUU